rnacentral:rRNA from 1 species
ACAUGCCUACAACAUAACAUUAAUGCACCAGAUCCCAUUAGAACUUCAUAGUUAAGAGCGCUCGGGCUAGAGUAGUACUGGGAUGGGUGACUGCCUGGGAAGUCCUAGUAUUUUACAUGCG